rnacentral:rRNA from 1 species
AACGAACGCUGGCGGCAUGCCUAACACAUGCAAGUCGAGCGAGUACUUCGGGUCUCGUGGCGGACGGGUGCGUAACGCGUGGGAAUCUGCCCUUCUAUUCGGAAUAACCCCCGGAAAGGGGGGGUAAUACCGGAUAAUGUCUUUUGGGGAAAGAUUUAUCGGAGUGGGAUGAGCCCGCGUUGGAUUAGGUAGUUGGUGGGGUAACAGCCUACCAAGGCGACGAUCCAUAGCUGGUCUGAGAGGAUGAUCAGCCACACUGGGACUGAGACACGGCCCAGACUCCUACGGGAGGCAGCAGUAGGGAAUAUUAGACAAUGGGAGAAAGCCUGAGCUAGCAAUGCCGCGUGAGUGAUGAAGGCCUUAGGGUUGUAAAGCUCUUUCAGCUGGGAAGAUAAUGACGGUACCGGCAGAAGAGGCCCCGGCUAACUCCGUG